GGCUGUUCUCGGGUGACACACCCUGAAUCGGGCUCCCUCCUCUCUGGUUCCGGGUGCAUCACCAGAGAACCGCA
rfam:Myotis lucifugus cont2.17355, whole genome shotgun sequence.